rnacentral:lncRNA from 1 species
GCCGAGACAAGAUGGUCAACACAGCACAAAUUCGUACAACAAAAACGUUAGCAGGUGUUAAUACAUGGCGCAAAUUCAAUUAUCGCUCAGUGAUGAGGCAUGUCCCCCGCCCUCCUGCUGUCUAAUGAUGAUGCCGAUGGGGUGUUAUCCGUAUCCGUCGUAGGAGGAAGAGUACUAUUUAUUCAUUAGCUCUAUCAAAGCACAGGGACAGAGUGGACAGUGAGGGGCCAGCGAUGGUAUGGCCAAAAUGUGACGCUCAUGUGUG